UUGGAGGGCAAGUCUGGUGCCAGCAGCCGCGGUAAUUCCAGCUCCAAUAGCGUAUAUUAAAGUUGUUGCAGUUAAAAAGCUCGUAGUUGAAUUUCGGGGUCAGCAGGUUGGUCGUGCCACUGGUAUGCACUGGCUUCGCUGAUUCCUCCUUUCUGAAGAACUGUAAUGUCAUUAAUUUGGUGUUGCAGGGAAACAGGACUGUUACUUUGAAAAAAUUAGAGUGUUUAAAGCAGGCUAACGCUUGAAUACAUUGGCAUGGAAUAAUGAAAUAGGACGUUCGAUCCUAUUUUGUUGGUUUCUAGGAUUGACGUAAUGAUUAAUAGGGAUAGUUGGGGGCAUUAGUAUUCAAUUGUCAGAGGUGAAAUUCUUGGAUUUAUUGAAGACUAACUACUGCGAAAGCCAUUUGCCAAGGAUGUUUUCAUUAAUCAAGAACGAAAGUUAGGGGAUCGAAGACGAUCAGAUACCGUCGUAGUCUUAACCAUAAACUAUGCCGACUAGGGAUCGGAUGAUGUUAAUUUUUUAAUGACUCAUUCGGCGCCUUACGGGAAAC
rnacentral:rRNA from 1 species